rnacentral:lncRNA from 1 species
CACCAUAGAUAGUAUUGUGUGUGUGUUGUCAUAAAGUUACUAAUAGCUAGCUUGCUGGCAAAGUUUUGUAUUAAUUUGGACCGCACUUUAGGUCAGGCCUAGUCAAAUUUGGAUUCCUCUGUCCAAGCCCAUCUUGUUUGCAGCAUGUACAGGUAGAAACUGUCCCUAACCAAAAUGAAGGGUUUGAUGGCACCACUGAAACUAAAUAAGCCAAAUCUAGAAUCAAUAGAAUGAAGCUCAUCAUCAAAAUUGAUCCAAGAGUAUGAUAUCCAUGGUUGAAAGACAACUAAAGAUUCUAAGCUCACCAUCAAAACCAAAAGAGUCCAGG